GGGAACGGGAAAAGGCGGACCACGUGACACCUCGGGCUUGUGGCGCUCCGGGCUUGCUAGGCUCACUCCUAACUUGCCUCGGCGAGUGUCACUGAGUGUUGCCUGUUUGGACUCUGAACUAGACAGUUCUAGAUCUGGGAUAUGUUACCUAACUUUUUUUAUUAGUGGAAGAAUAUUCCCACUGCUCCACUGAGGCCUACAGAAAGGUGAAGGGAGAAGCGUGCUGGGGGAGCUCCUUAAACAGGGAGGCAAACACCACCACCAAUAACAUUUUCAAGAACUCUCUGAAAAAGACUAGAUUUGCUAGGCCCUUCCCUACCAGAGGAAGCAGUGUCAGCUGCAAAGAAGACUCUGGACCAGCUGAGCUGCCAGGAAGACUCUGAGACAAAAGGAGUUGCCUGGAAGAGAUUAAGACCAACUGAGGCACUUGAAAAGGACACCAUCCAACCUCUGGAGCUGCCUGUGGGCUGUGCGGUUUGCUCCAGGUUUCCCAGAUUUUAUGAGC
rnacentral:lncRNA from 1 species